rnacentral:rRNA from 1 species
AGAGAGUGCAAGCGUUAAUCGGAAUCACUGGGCGUAAAGCGCACGUAGGUUGAUAUUCUAGUCGGGAUGUGAAAGCCCUGGGCUUAACCUAGGAAUUGCACCCGAUACUGGAUGUCUAGAGUAUAGUAGAGGGAAGUGGAAUUUCCGGUGUAGCGGUGAAAUGCGUAGAUAUCGGAAAGAACACCAGUGGCGAAGGCGGCUUCCUGGACUAAUACUGACACUGAGGUGCGAAAGCGUGGGGAGCAAACAGGAUUAGAGACCCUGGUAGUCCACGCCGUCAACGAUGAGAACUAGACGUUGGGGGGUAUAUCCCUUUAGUGUCGAAGCUAACGCGUUAAGUUCUCCGCCUGGGGAGUACGGCCGCAAGGUUA